GGCCGGCAGUCAUCGUGUCGUAGUCGUUCAGAAACGCGUCGGGUCCGGUGUUUGUAGUAGUCGUCGAGUGUGCGCUCGUCGUACUUAAUAAUAAUAUUGUUGUAGUCGUUGUCGUCGUCGUCGAGCGCUUCCGAUUUCCUACACCGACUGCCCGAAAGCUCAUCGAACGUCUCACUGUCUGGGCUUUUUUUUUUUUUUUUUCUAAUAAUCUUUGUCCGGUGAAUAAAAAAGUCGAUUCUGAUAUUUUGAUCCGAUCGAAGUUUUUCUCUUCCCUUCUUUCCCCUCAUCAAAGACGUCGAUUAUCGAAUUGACGCGUGUCGCAUCCGUCAUAUACGCGUACAUGUAUGCGAAAACUCAGAAUUUCGGAACGCCUCAAGCCGCCACGGGCAUGCCGUCGCAGCCGCAACUCAUCCGUUCCGGAGGAUUGUUCGCGCACCAAAAGAUGUCAGGGUUUCUGCAGGAUGCUGACGGUUCAGACUUACACGACAUGAGUUCGGUCAUCGAGGGUUUUCAGAAGAAGAACAGCGUCGGGUCAAUGGGAUCGGCCACGACCGCCGGCAACCAUAUGGCGUCGUCGAAGAAGAACACGUCGUCGUCGUCUUCGAGUUCACGGACGAUGGAGUCGUCGUCGUCCACGUCCUCUUCGUCUUCCACCUCUCAGCACGUCCUGCACCGACAGGUGUCUGAAAUGACGACCACGUCAUCCGAACUGCAAAACUCUCAGCUUCUCCAGCAGCGGAUACUCAUGGACGGCGGUGACGUUACCGCGGUCAACUCCGCGGUCGCCGAGGACACCGACUGCUGCAACCCUGUUGAUGGGGCAGACCCGUUGGUCACGUUUCCCGAGUCGCCUCCCGUUUUGAUGUCCAACGUGUCGCCGCUCCUGCACGCGUCCGCCACCCGCCCCAAACCGGUCCGCGUGGCCGUACAGGACGUACGACUGAAACACCCGGCCGCGGCCACAGCGGCGACCACCGAUCGGCGCGUGUCCACGUCCAAAUUGGUCCAAGAGGCGUACGAGUCGUCGUCGUCGUCGUCAAGCAGCACCAGCAGUACGGUUUCCGAUUCGCAGGAGGUGCUCCACCAGCACGGCGACGUCCGCAAGCUACACGCGGCCAACGCGAUCCGGGCCAGGCUCGCCGGUACCAUCGGGAGCUCCAUCGCCAACCGCGAAACCGAGACUGCUCUGAACAAACUCCAGAAAGCUUCGAGCGCACAACAACAAAGACAGACAAUUACGUCUUCAGGAAUGUAUAACCAAGAAAAACAUAUUGCUCAGUCAUCACAAUCGAACUUUACGUUCACCAAAAAAGGCAUUUGCACGAGUUCAAAAGCCGUGUCAUCCGCCACUUCACAAUCGUCACACAACGGGACUUCGUCUGGCGGCAGUGGUUCGUCGCCCCCAUCGACACAUGUGAUCAGAAGUGUCGACGAUCUGUUAAACACGAAUUUCGAUGAUCUAGACCAGAUGCGAGAAAUCGCCAACACUCAAGACGUGGAAAACGCCAUUAAAAAGUAUUCACUGUACCUGGAGAACGCUGUCAAGGGACUGAUGACCGGAAAGUACGCCGACGCCAAAGGCCCGAUAAUGCUUAACAAAAUGUUCGAUAUGAUUUGCAAGGCGUGGGCCGUACCGACCUACGAGCUUGGUUAUGCAUUGUGUAACACAUUCCGGGACUGCGGUGGAAUGAAUUUAUUGAUCAACAACUGCGUGUCCAAAGACCAAAAACUUCAGUUCUCCAGUGCCAGGUUACUUGAACAAUGCCUGACCACAGAAAAUCGCGCCUACGUCGUGGAAAAUGGACUGGAAAAGGUCGUACACGUUGUGUGCGCGUACAAGAGUCAAGUGAGCUCGGCCGAUCAAUCUAAAGUCAGUACUGGAAUUCUCGAGCAUCUAUUUAAACACAGUGAAAUGACAUGUAGCGAUGUUAUCAAACUCGGUGGCUUGGACGUACUGCUGUACGAGUGUCGCAGACGAGACAUCGCAACCCUCAGACACUGUGCCGGUGCUCUUGCCAACCUGUCGCUGUACGGAGGUGCUGAGAACCAAGAGCUGAUGAUCAAGCGAAACGUACCCACGUGGUUGUUCACGUUGGCGUUCAACACGGACGACAACAUCAAGUAUUACGCGUUCUUGGCCAUAGCCGUUUUGGUGGCCAACAAAGAAAUCGAGGCGGCCGUGCUCAAGUCCGAAACCCUAGACCUGAUCGACCCGUUCGUCACCACCCACACGCCGUCAGAGUUCGCCAAGUCGAAUCUGGCUCACGCCCACGGCCAGAGUCACCAUUGGCUGGAAAGGUUGGUCCCGGUGUUGAGCUCAAUCCGGGAGGAAGCGUGCAACUUGGCCGCCUUCCACUUCUGCAUGGAGGCUGGCAUCAAAAAGCAACAGGGCAAGACCGGUAUAUUCAGCGUGAUUAACGCCGUCGAACCACUGAAGAAGGUGGCCAGUUGCCCCAACGCAAUAGCGUCAAAGUUCGCCGCCCAAGCAUUGCGGCUGAUCGGCGAAGAGGUACCGCACAAGCUCAGCCAAAAAGUACCAUUGUGGUCACCCGAGGACGUCCGAGAAUGGGUAAGACAGAUCGGCUUCAGCGAGUGCUCCAAAAACUUCGUGGACAGCCGAGUGGAUGGUGACCUGCUGUUGCAGUUGACCGAACAAAAUCUUAGGGACGACAUCGGAAUACACAAUGGAAUCAUGCGAAGAAGGUUUAUGAGGGAAAUACACAAUUUGAAACGAUUGGCAGACUACAGUAGUAGAGACACGACAAAUCUGAACUCCUUCCUCCAGUCCAUAGGUUCGGAGUUUUCUGUGUACACUUAUUCCAUGUUGAAUGCUGGCGUUGAUAGAGAUUCCAUCAGAUUCUUAUCAGAAGAACAGCUCAUACAAGAGUGUGGAAUAUCAAACAGCAUUCACCGGUACAGAAUACUAGACUCGAUAAGAGACAUGGAGACGCUAAUGGAAACGUCUUCUUACGAAGAAAACAUGAACAAACACUUGGACGUGUUCAUCAGUUACAGACGAUCGACUGGAUCUCAAUUGGCAAGUUUGCUCAAAGUACACUUACAACUUCGAGGAUACUCAGUGUUCAUCGACGUGGAACGUCUGGAAGCCGGCAAGUUCGACAACAACCUGUUGCAGAGCAUCAAGCAGGCGAAAAACUUCAUAUUGGUAUUGACGCCAAAGUCGUUGGACAGGUGUAUCGGCGAUAACGAAUGCAAAGACUGGGUACACAAGGAAAUCGUGGCUGCCAUACAGGACCAAUGCAACAUCAUCCCGAUCAUGGACAACUUUGCGUGGCCCGAACCGGAAACCUUGCCGGAGGAUAUGCAAAACGUGUGGAAGUUCAACGGCGUGAGGUGGAUACACGACUACCAGGACGCGUGCGUGGAGAAGGUAGAGCGGUUCAUGCGGGGCGAGCUGAACGGGAUCCGGGACGGCGCCAGUUCGGGACUGUCGCUCAACAGGUCCGGCGGCGGGGGCAUCGGCCCGUCCACCAUCAAGAGCGACCCGUCGGCGCCGAACACGCCCAUGACGGUGGGCAGGUCACCGCCAACGUACCAGCGGACUCAGUCCAACGACAGCGAACGGGACCUGACCGGUAGCAAAGAUUGACUAGCGGGGAACACUUCCAGGUAUGGGACUGUGGCCGAUGUUUUGCUUUCCCGCCCGAACCGGUUGCUACGUUUUGUGUCCGUCCGCUUGUUGUUGUCGUCCGUCCUGCAGCGGCCUCCGAGACUUCAUGGUUAGAUACCGGAAGUGUUCGAGAUUACCUGCCUGGAGGCCACCAAUGAGUCCAAAUGGUCGCGGAAAGAAUCGGAAACGAGCCAAAAGCGUGGAAGGUCUAUUAGAGACUACCGCCGAACCGGAUCCGCGAGUACAGAUACAG